rnacentral:rRNA from 1 species
GACGGAGGGGGCUAGCGUUGUUCGGAAUGACUGGGCGUAAAGGGCGCGUAGGCGGUCGAUCAAGUCAGGCGUGAAAGCCUCGGGCUUAACCUGAGAACUGCGCUUGAUACUGGUUGACUUGAGAACGAGAGAGGAAAGUGGAAUUCCGAGUGUAGAGGUGAAAUUCGUAGAUAUUCGGAGGAACAUCAGAGGCGAAGGCGGCUUUCUGGCUCGUAACUGACGCUGAGGCGCGAAAGCGUGGGGAGCAAACAGG